CCACGCCUGCGCGCGAUAGCGCAGCUCUCUGCGGGUGCUUGCCAUCCCCUCGGCUCAUUGGCGCAGCUCGCCCUCCCCUGCUGGAGAAGUGUUUUAGUGGCGAGGGUGGUGCUGAAGAGAAGACGAUGCCUUGUGCAGGUCCUGAGCAAGUGGCGUGAUGGCAGCAGCGGCCGGAGGAGGAGAUGGAUGCGUGUGUAGGUCCUGAAGAUGUUGAAUGCAAGCAACAUGUAAGUCACGUUUGUUGUACUCUUUUGCUUGAUUAUGGAUUGCGAUUUGGAAAUUACAUGAAGAAUAGCAUGUCACAUUUAGUUUCACAGCCAGGACAAAUGAGCGACAAUAUGACAAAUGAGUAAUAUUGCAAAUUUCAGUCCAUAAGCUACUUGCUGCAAUCUGUUUUGUUGCACUUGUUGUAGAUUAUUCAAAAGCAGCAAUGGAAUUGUAGGUAGAAGUGGCACACGUAUGUAGACCUCCGUACAUUGGCAAGGGACUCUUCAACCAUGAUUCGCAGAUGAAUCUGAAUUCACAUCUCCCAAAAAAAAGUAAGGAGUUCACAUAAUGAUUUCAUAAAUAAAACUAAAAUGAGUUCACAACGCCAAAUAUAUAUGAGCUCCCGGCUAAUAUAAGCUCACGGCUCAGAGCAAUUGAAGAAAUUGAGUUCAAAUAGAAGAAAACUACUUGAUGAAAUAAGUCUGGAACUCGCUGACUGGAACUUGAUUUAUGUUUAAUAAUAUGGCACGGCUGUGUGCAUCAUUUGAUGCAGAGGCCGGGGUAAUCCCCUUUUCGAAAAUAAAAUAAGUAUAACAUCAAUUUCAUAGAGACCAAUCAUCCAAUUUGUAGCUUUCUCUUUGAUGUAAGCUUCUUUGCUGGAUAUGUGGGCUUUGGAAUGAGACUAAUGUUAGACAGUCGAAUAAGCGGUAUGUGAUAGUAGGCCUUCCCUGUGUCAACGGGCAAUAUUAAACUCAUCUUUGUCUAGGGGGACAGUUCAGUAACUUAGAGACGUACGAAACAUUUUUCUCCUCAGAAAAGAAAUUCCCCACUCCACAAACAGGUCUUCUUCUUCCAGGUUGGUGCAUUGACGGAGUCAAUACACUGGUACAACCCCAGCAUGGAAGAUACAAAUUACUUCAUAUUUCUUGCUGUAAUUUCAGUGGUGACUUCCGGGCAAAGCCAGGGCGGCUGCCUGACAUUGUGGGGUCGAUUAACAUCUGCCACUGAGUCGCUGGAUCUACCUAUUAUUACUUGCAAUCUAGUAGUAGAGCACCCUGACUCAUUCAGCUCCGUAAGCAUCCUUUGUUCCCUUUCUUUUGGUUGUUUGAAUCAUUUGAUUCCACUUUGUUUCCAUCGCAAAGAAAAAUUACCACCAAUUAAAUCGACUCGUGGUGAUAAUAUAUGUGAUCAAUUUAUGUUUGUCAUCCUCGUGUUCUUGUACGAUUAACAUAGAGUGACAGAAUUUUCUGUCAGUUAGUCUAAUUGUUUAGCAUCUGUUGCAAUGAGUGACAGAGUUUUCUAUUUAAUUAAAUAGCUAACUUUUUUUCCUGAUAGACCGCAAUGUUAUCUCUGCUGAGAUUAUUUGAGCAAAUUGUUUCUUGUUAUCCGAAAAAGAUUGCCACCAUGGGUCGGUUAACUUGAUCAACACCAGACGUAAACCCACCAGAAAGAUCCUCCAUUACGCAAGUGACAGCAUCAACAGUAGCGGUUUGUACUAAAAUUCAAAAAGGAGUGAACAUAUCAAAUAGAAAAAUUAUAUAAUCUAAAAAGAUACCAAGCAGCAAACCUGAGGUGCCAAUACAAAGAGCAGCAGGUUGACCAACAACUGGACCAUCAAAUGGAGCCGAAGACUCUCCUAAAAAAGGAGGGAACCAUGAGUGCAGGCUCGUUUUGAAAGAAAAAAAAUGAAUUUACACGGCAUGAUUUUUCUGGAAUUUUUGAUUUUUUUGUAAAUAGUCACACGCGGCGUACAGAAAAAGGCAGAAACCUAUUUCUAAAAUGAGCCGUCUUGUUGUUGGGCCGAUUUUUGAUUUUUUUUGUACAGUCUAAGAAUCACAAAAAUUUCAAAUGAUUCUUCACACGUGCAUGCGGAAAAUGUAUAAGUUUUCGCGGAUGGUCUUUCAAUUUUUUUUUGAAACUUUAAAUAUAGCUUUGCUCUUUUUAAAAAUAUCAAGCUCACUGCAGCUCGGGCACUAUUGGCAUUUUCUGAAGAAUCAAACAUUGUAUGGAAAAAAACAAAGAAAAAGAAACUGCAUGGGGCAUGCACGUAGUCACAUAGGCAAGACGCAAUAAUGCAUGGGACAUGCACGUAGCCCCGCCGGCAGCCCCCGGCAUGCACCAUGAACAUAUAUUGCCCCCUUAGACAAAGAUGGCAAACAAUUUAACAUAUUUUAUCCGUAACAAUUUUUCACAGAAAAUAAAACUUAUAGAUAAGCAGUACCAGAGAACUCAGCCGAAGAGCUGGGCAAGGAAACAGCAGAGUCCACACCACGUGAAGAACCAAGACCACAUAAAGAAUCAGCUACAAUAAGGGAAGAAACAAAUAACUAAUUACUUAAAAUAAAUAAAUGAAAGACUGAGACAACCCAAUCCGAAC
rnacentral:lncRNA from 1 species